AGCGGCGGACGGGUGAGUAACGCGUGGGUAACCUGCCUUACACAGGGGGAUAACAGUUAGAAAUGACUGCUAAUACCGCAUAAGACCCCGGUACCGCAUGGUACAGAGGUAAAAACUGAGGUGGUGUAAGAUGGACCCGCGUCUGAUUAGGUAGUUGGUGAGGUAACGGCUCACCAAGCCGACGAUCAGUAGCCGGCCUGAGAGGGUGGACGGCCACAUUGGGACUGAGACACGGCCCAGACUCCUACGGGAGGCAGCAG
rnacentral:rRNA from 1 species